AGUGAACGCUGGCGGUAGGCCUAACACAUGCAAGUCGAACGGCAGCACAGUAAGAGCUUGCUCUUACGGGUGGCGAGUGGCGGACGGGUGAGGAAUACAUCGGAAUCUACUUUUUCGUGGGGGAUAUCGUAGGGAAACUUACGCUAAUACCGCAUACGACCUACGGGUGAAAGCAGGGGAUCUUCGGACCUUGCGCGAUUGAAUGAGCCGAUGUCGGAUUAGCUAGUUGGCGGGGUAAAGGCCCACCAAGGCGACGAUCCGUAGCUGGUCUGAGAGGAUGAUCAGCCACACUGGAACUGAGACACGGUCCAGACUCCUACGGGAGGCAGCAGUGGGGAAUAUUGGACAAUGGGCGCAAACCUGAUCCAGCCAUACCGCGUGGGUGAAGAAGGCCUUCGGGUUGUAAAGCCCUUUUGUUGGGAAAGAAAAGCAGCAGGUUAAUACCCCGCUGUUCUGACGGUACCCAAAGAAUAAGCACCGGCUAACUUCGUG
rnacentral:rRNA from 1 species